rnacentral:ncRNA from 2 species
AUGAAGGCUGUGGGAGAGACCCUAAAGGGCGCCGAAGGAGCAAAACCGGUUAGCCGGCUGUGGGCAACGGUUAAACUCUCAGGCAAAAGGACUGCAGCCGGACG